GGAAGGAUCAUUACAAAAUUUCGAGUGCCCGAGCAGCGGCGGCCGCUGGCGUGCAAGCGCCUAGUGUGCUGUGCGCUGCCCGACACCACUUUACGCUUGUUGUGUUUGACAGAGUUAUGUAUGUGACUGAAAUUAUAGACAACUUUUAACAAUGGAUCUCUUGGCUCUUGCAACGAUGAAGAACGCAGUAAAGUGCGAUAUAUAGUGCGAUUUGCAUGAAUCUGUGAGUCAUCGAGUCUUUGAACGCAACUUGCGCCCAGCAAUGGGCAUGUCUGUUUGAGUACCGCAAAUCUCUCUGUUCUCCGCAAGGAAGGACGACUUGGGCUGUGAAGACGCGUGCGCAUUUGCGUGUGUGCGUCUUUGGCCUGGAAAGGAGCAAGUAUGUGGAGGCUGUGCCCCGCAUCUCUGUGUGCUAUAAACACGCAAGUGUUUGGUCGCAGAGGGAGCGGGCAGCGUGCCAUUACCCCUUUAUUUUUUUAAUGGUCUCAAAUCAGGCAGGAUUACCCGCUGAACUUAAGCAUAUCAGUAAGCGGAGGAAAAGAAACUAACAAGGAUUCCCCUAGUAGCGGCGAGUGAAGCGGGAAUAGCUCAAAUUUUAAAUCUCUGCACUUUGUGCAGCGAAUUGUAGUCUAAAGACGGUGAUCAAGGCCGGCGUUCAGAAUAGGUCCCUUGGAAUAGGGCGCCAGAGAGGGUGAGAGCCCCGUUAUUCUGGACAAUGGCUAGUAUGAGAGCCAGUCGACGAGUCGAGUUGUUUGGGAAUGCAGCUCAAAGUGGGUGGUAAAUCUCAUCUAAGGCUAAAUACUGGCAAGAGACCGAUAGCGAACAAGUACCGUGAGGGAAAGAUGAAAAGCACCUUGAAAAGGGAGUUAAAUAGUGCGUGAAAUUGUUAAAAGGGAAACGAUAGAGGUCAGUAUUGGUAUAGCGUGCAAGGCGGUCAUUUCGGUGGCCGUUGCGCAUCUGUUCCGAGUCAAUAGCGGUGCGGGGGGCUGGACACGCUACUGAGGAAGGUGGGGUUACUCUUCGGAGUAGCUCUUUAUAGACUCGGAUAGCCGCAGCCGUUCGUACCGGACACAUUUGACGAAAUGGCCUUUAACGACCCGUCUUGAAACACGGACCAAGGAGUCUAACAAAUGUGCGAGCAUUCGAGUGGCAAACUCUGGAUGCGCAAGGAAACUAAAAGCCUGCGAGCAGCAAUGUGCAGCAGGGACCGGCAUUGGGAUAACUCUCAUUGACCGCGUAAGAGUAUAUUUGUUGGGACCCGAAAGGUGGUGAACUAUGCCUGACUAGGGCAAAGCCAGAGGAAACUCUGGUGGAGGCUCGUAGCCGUUCUGACGUGCAAAUCGAUGGUCAAAGUUGGGUAUAGGGGCGAAAGACUAAUCGAACCACCUAGUAGCUGGUUCCCUC
rnacentral:misc_RNA from 1 species